CAGUAGACCACAGGCCUCAAUUAUUUUUCAUAAACAUUUAGGCAUGUGCCACCAUUUGUUCGAGAUUGGGAGGUGUGACUUGACCAACACUUCGCCAAUUUGCGGCGCGUGGACGUGACAAAUUGUUUACACGCGGACACUUCGACACGUGUGCUCUGGCAAAUAUAUAGAAGCACACGGUCGAAGUCUGUUCACUUGCAACUGGCAUCCUCUAUUCUCCCUGGACUACGUUUCUCCGCAAAUCGCGUCUUCUUCUUACACCAUGGACAAAUGUAUUGUUCAGACUACAUUCACAAGUGGAAAUAUCAUGGGAUACACAACCGGGCGGGCUGAGACAAACAGAAGUCGGUCUCUUCACUUGUGGCGACCCUGGACUGUCGCAGCCCAAAAGAAACCGAGGACCGUUUCAUAUAAGCCCUACGCGAAGACUGAUAAACAUUCAAAAUGUGACCGGACUUCACAUCCCGUAAA